AGAGAGAGACAUGCGUGCAUAUCAAUAAGCGGAGGAAAAAAGAAACUAACAAGGAUUCCCCUAGUAACGGCGAGUGAAGCGGGAAGAGCUCAAAUUUGAAAUCUUAAAGGGUUUCCCUUUACGAAUUGUAGUUUAAAGAAGUGUUUUCUGUUGAGGUUUUGGUAAAAGUUCUUUGGAAUAGGACAUCAUAGAGGGUGAGAAUCCCGUAUUUGACCUUUACUUUCAACUUUGUGAUACACUUUCAAAGAGUCGGAUUGUUUGGGAAUGCAGUCCAAAAUGGGUGGUAAAUUUCAUCUAAAGCUAAAUAUUGGCGAGAGACCGAUAGCGAACAAGUACCGUGAGGGAAAGAUGAAAAGAACUUUGAAAAGAGAGUUAAACAGUACGUGAAAUUGUCAAAAGGGAAGCGUUUGACACCAGUGUUGUUUUUCUGAAAAUCAAUUAAAGAACUGUUUAUGCUAAGUUGUUUAGACUUUAUCAGCUAACUGUUUAGUUUUGAGCUUUUCUUUAAUGCACUUUUCAGUUAACAAGUCAACAUCAAUUUCUUUUGCUGUAAAAAAGCUUGAGGAAGGUGGCUUGAGAUUCGUCUUAAGUGUUUAUAGCCUCUUGCCUAUGCAGUCGGAGAGAUUGAGGUCCGCAGCGUAGAUCCUUCGGGGCUAAAUGCAUUUGUGCUAAGUUAUAGCAUUUUAUAGACAACUUGUUGACUAUGAUUUGUCUUGUAGCUUACUCGCUUAUGUUAUUUUACCUACGCUUAGGAUGUUGACGCAUGAGAUAUACGC
rnacentral:rRNA from 1 species